rnacentral:rRNA from 1 species
CCUACGGGAGGCUGCAGUGGGGGAUAUUGCACAAUGGGGGGAACCCUGAUGCAGCGACGCCGCGUGGGUGAAGAAGCGCCUCGGCGCGUAAAGCCCUGUCAGCAGGGAAGAAAAUGACGGUACCUGAAGCAGAAGCCCCGGCUAACUACGUGCCAGCAGCCGCGGUAAUACGUAGGGGGCAAGCGUUAUCCGGAUGUACUGGGUGUAAAGGGGGCGCAGACGGCGAUGCAAGCCAGGAGUGAAAGCCCGGGGCCCAACCCCGGGACUGCUCUUGGAACUGCGUGGCUGGAGUGCAGGAGGGGCAGGUGGAAUUCCUGGUGUAGCGGUGAAAUGCGUAGAUAUCAGGAGGAACACCGGUGGCGAAGGCGGCCUGCUGGACUGCAACUGACGUUGAGGCCCGAAAGCGUGGGGAGCAAACAGGAUUAGAUACCCGUGUAGUC